UAUUUCUGACCUAUUUACAAUGGUUUGGAAUUCUGUAGUGACUCCAAAUAAAAAGGAUGACACACAGAGACAACAGUUCCUGGAGGACAGAAAGCUGAGGUGGCAAAUAAGAGACAAAAAGAGAAUGUGAAAAAGAAGAGAAUGGAUUUUUCCUCCAAAGAAAUCUAAUUCUAGAGAUGAAAGAAUGAAAUUCACAGACUUAUUGUCCCAGAACCAACAAAAGAAAUAAUCCCAAGGUCUGAACACAUGGAAGACAACUAAAAGGAAAUAAAUCUUGUUUUUAACAUAAUACAAACAUGAAAAGACAGAAGAAUGGGCUCCAAUCAAAAAAGGCUGCACCAUGUAACUGAUGGCCAUCUCUGCAAACUGUAUUUCAUUAUUCCCCAUGAAAGCUUCCUCUGAUUAAGUAUUGGUUGGAGUCUUCAGCACUGGCUUAAUAGCACUGUAGUGAAUAAUAUACAUAAGAUAUGUAAAAGCUGAUUCAAUACAAAGCCAUUUAAGGACUCAUUUUUGAAAUUCCUCAAGGCAGUAAGAUGGUCACUGACUUCAUAAUGGAUUGUCCUGCGCUCAUCAACAAGCAAAGAUUACUCAGCCAGAUAGAGGCCUCAGGAUAAUCUGUAUAACAAAAACUGAAUAAAAUUCCAUAUGUAAAAGAA